rnacentral:rRNA from 1 species
GAAGGGGGCAAGCGUUGUUCGGAAUUACUGGGCGUAAAGGGAGUGUAGGCGGUUAUGUAAGAUAGUGGUGAAAUCCCAGAGCUUAACUUUGGAAUUGCCAUUAUGACUAUGUGGCUAGAAUUACAGAGAGGAUAGUGGAAUACCCAGUGUAGAGGUGAAAUUCGUAGAUAUUGGGUAGAACACCAGUGGCGAAGGCGACUAUCUGGCUGUAUAUUGACGCUGAGGCUCGAGAGCAUGGGGAUCAAACAGGAUUAGAUACCCUGGUAGUCCAUGCUGUAAACGAUGAGUGCUUGUUGUCGGUAUUGUAUCGGUGACGAAGUUAACGCGUUAAGCACUCCGCCUGGGGAGU